GCCGGGCGUGGUGGCACGCGCCUGUGGUCCCAGCUACUCGGGAGGCUGAGGCAGAAGGAUCGCCUGAGCCCAGGAGUUCAAGGCUGCAGUGACUUACAUUCAAUGCCACUGCACUCCAGCCUGGGCAACAUGGGGAGACCCUGUCUCUA
rnacentral:sRNA from 1 species